rnacentral:rRNA from 1 species
GACAGAGGAUGCAAGCGUUAUCCGGAAUGAUUGGGGCGUAAAGCGUCUGUACGGUGGCUUUUUAAGUCCGCCGUCAAAAUCCCAUGGGCUCAAACCCUGGACAGGCGGUGGAAACUACCAAGCUGGAGGUACGGUAGGGGCAGAGGGAAUUUCCGGUGGAGCGGUGAAAUGCGUAGAGAUCGGAAAGAACACCAACGGCGAAAGCAACUCUGCUGGGCCGACACUGACACUGAGAGACGAAAGCUAGGGGAGCGAAUGGG